rnacentral:rRNA from 1 species
AGCUCCUACGGGACGCAGCAGUGAGGAAUAUUGGUCAAUGGCCGGAAGGCUGAACCAGCCAAGUCGCGUGAGGGAAUAAGGCCCUAUGGGUCGUAAACCUCUUUUGUCAGGGAGCAAAGGCGUCCACGAGUGGACGAAAGGAGAGUACCUGAAGAAAAAGCAUCGGCUAACUCCGUGCCAGCAGCCGCGGUAAUACGGAGGAUGCGAGCGUUAUCCGGAUUUAUUGGGUUUAAAGGGUGCGCAGGCGGAAGAUCAAGUCAGCGGUAAAAUUGAGAGGCUCAACCUCUUCGAGCCGUUGAAACUGG